UGUUACGGAGCUUCCUUAAAGUCUAGGCAUUAUGCGUGGAAGAGGCAAGAACAAAAGGAUUUGAAGGUAUUGUUUGAGCUUUCUUUGGAUCCAAGGUCGAAAUCAAAAGGGGGUUUCAAAAAUGGAUACCGUCAAGUUCUAGAGAGCGUACUUGAUGAAGCAAUGAAGAAAAAUUCAUGUGAUGGCUAUAUGUCAUUUAAUCUAUCAGAUGCUCAUUACGAGAUUUUGAAUUCCUGCUAUUGA
rnacentral:lncRNA from 3 species